CUUGCGCGCUAGCCGAAAACCAGCUGUCAAAAAAAGGAUUCUAGCCAGCGCAGCUGUGCUGCAGACCGUGAAAAAAGGCAGGCGAUAAAAGGUGGCACUGGCACCUGCCACUGGCAACUACCACCGGCAGUGGCAGCUGCCACUACGCGUUCUGGCAAGCGAUAAAACGUGGCAAGUACCGGAACCUUGAAAUGAAAUAGUUAUGCCAUCCAGCGACAAUCUCUAUAUAAAUUAUUCAGAAGGAAGAUCUAUUGCUGGUGCGUUACCAUACUGCGGUGGUACGUUACUAUGCUCCGGGACUUCUUCUUCCUCGUAGUACUCGUACUGGUUAGCACCAUCGUGCUGGGCGAAGUUAUUGUUAACUGUACACGUGGCGCUGGCCCAACUGACUGCGACUCGUUGUUCUGGUUCGGCGGAGCAACAGGAACAAACUGCCUAGCUGGAGGUGCAAUACCCCCGCAAACUUGAGAAGGACCAGAGGGAGCAACACUACCCCCGCAAACUUGAGUACCUCCACUACUUACGUUAAGCGGAAUCUGCCCUGAACGCAUACCUACUGCGGUACCAUUAUCUGUGCGCAUACUACUGUUCGGCUGAUUAUCGUAGUACGAUGGCAUCGCACUCAUUACAUUUGGUGCCGUCAAUGGAACUUCUGAUUCGAAAACCUUCUCUGCGCUAGUACUGUGCUCCUGAUUUAAAACUGAAGAUAACUGCUGCCGAGAAAAUACAGCACUACCACUGGACUGACUUAAUUUUAACUGCUUUUUCAAAUCUUCAAUUUCAUUAUGCAAAUCGCGCAUUUUUACUUUAUAAUCGUUAACGCACUUACCCCGCUCCAUACAUUCACUACGCCAUUUCUUACUUUCCUCCAAAGCAUUGCUCAAGUCGAUUUCUGCCUGGUCACAUUGUCUUUUGGCAUUCUUCAGUUCCGCAUCAAGUUCUUCGUUGGCCAAUAUUAUUUUGACAUGAUCUGCUAUAUCGAUCUGAAACUCUGCAUUCCGUUCCUCCAGCAUUGUGAAUUUAUCCGUUAAUGACUUCAACUUUUCACUUACCGUAUUAUUGUCAUUCUGCACAAGCGCUAAGUUCCGCUUUGCAGUUUCCAAAUCUGCCUGCAUCUUAUCCCUGUUAUCAUUUUCCCUGUCUAACACUUCAUUUAACCGCUAAGUUUCAUCCCGUGAAUUGUCUUGUUGAACACAAAAGGCGAUAUAGCCUUUUGUACAACGAAUCUGUACCACACGACUCUCUCAUAACGACUCUCACUUCGUGAUCUGACUGAGAGGCUUGAAGCCUUUCGCUAACUUCCUUCACUUCUUCGACAAACUUAAACCGCAAUGGUUCGAAAUCUUUUUCGUGAACAAACUGCCUUAAAUCUGACUGCAUUGGGUGCCACGAUUCCCUAACCCUACUUGCUUCAGGUAAAUCUUCAGGUAAAUCUUCAGCUCCAAUAAGGAACGAUUACCGAAAUUAAACGCUGGUUCGUUAACUUCCGUAGUUAAAUCUGACGAGGGUGAAUCAUUACGCCUAGUCACAUUAUUAAAAUCAAGAAUAUUACCAAAAUCAGAGGGUUCAUUGCCACAGUUGAUUAUAUUCGUAUCAUGUGCCCUGCACUACGAUCGAACGACUUUUGUGAAAAUACCACCGUAUCAUUACCAUCCACGGCGUUAUGGCCUGGACCCGCAUUUUGCCCUACAAACUGCCUGAUUUCCGAAUUACCAUAUCCUUGGAGCAAAUUUACUCUCUCACUGUGAUUCCCUAACAGUGACUCAUCAGAUACUGACAACACAUCCUGAGGGGCCAAGACUGUUUUUUCCACAUCACUAGUCAAAUUAACUAAAGGGGAGUUAUUAUUACUCACAGAAUUUUCACCAAUUACUGGGACAUUAUUAGAAUGCCCAUCUGACGUAACGGCUACAUUCCGAGAACGCGUUGAUUUAUUCGAACUGACUUCUUUUCUAGCCAUGACUUCCUCCUGAUAUGCGUCAAUAUUCUUGAUCGCCCAUUCCCUCGCUUUCUUAAAAUCUUAAUCUGACAUGUCAACAUAUUCUGCUGGUAUCGACCUCUCUUUCUCAAACCAAGUUCCAUAAUAACUGGGAGCUCUGAGCAAAGUCGUAUUCUUGUCCUGCCAGUCAACCCAUUGUUGACUGCAGUACGUGCUUUUUACAUCCUAAGGUUCUAAACCUACUGCCGUGUACAUAAGACCCAACGGGAUACGAGUCGAAAAUUUGUAUCGCUCAUCCUAAUCCCCUUCGUUUGCUUUAUACUUCAAUCUGCCUGACUCAACUUUUCUGACUGGCCAAAAGCCAUCACGUUUUACCACGAAAUCAGCUCACUUCGAAAUCUUGUUUAAUUCAGUGCAACCGCGGCUAUACCGUACCACUCAGGUGGAUUAAGUAAGCAAAAGUUGUACUGUCCCCACUGGUUGUGUAAACAACCACCUCGUAUUACCCUACAGUUACUGGCUGACCUUUAAGGUUUCAGUCAGCUGCCUACACAGCUGACACUACGCAAUGAGUGCUGCUAAUACACGUAUGCGAGACGCAAUGCUUGCCGUUUCUGCCUAAAUUUGAAUCCGAAAUCCCAGGAAAUAUACACUGGCUAAUCCGGAAUGCGGACGUCACCAACUGUAUACUCGUACUAACCUGAACCGCUGAAUUCAAAAAGAAUAAAUCCUUUUGCUGAAAUUUAAAUUCCAAACGUUCUCAGUAUUAGAGAGCACUGCAACUUUUGAGUGGAUUUAUGCCGAUUGCAUAUCCGGGUAUUUACACACACGCAAAAUUUUAUGAGUUUUUGACUCUCAGCAUUAGAGAGUGAAACUUUUGAUUAAAUGAAUGCCAAUACACUACGACUAUCCAAGCAUUAUGGAUACCCACUUCUGACUCAUACAACAUGCAGCUGACCUUUAAGGUUUCAACCGCUUCACCUCAUUUACCGUAAAGCUAUCCCGUUUAUAUGAGGAUACUGUAAAUUACACCCUACAAUCGAAUGUUUCCGGUUCGAGCUGAUGACCAUUUAGCACGAUUGCUGGUCGUAUCUUCUCACUGCUGCGCGAAGAAAAAAUGUACAUAAAUUUUGACUUUUUCUCAUUAAUGCCAAGGUGGUUAGCGUUCAACCACUCGGUGAUUCCGGGGAGUGCACUUUCUAGCUUAGCUGCUGCUUCCACUUUAGUAUCUGCCGUGACAUAUCCGAUAGUGUCAUCAACAAAGCUUUCUAGUUGCACAUCACCGAAUCGAGUUUUCAAAAAGUCUAUUCGAGCCAUUGCAAACUACCCGACAACGCCAGUGAAUCUCCUGAUGGACCGUUUUGGAAUAAUCCCACUGUUCACGCGAUGGCGGCACCAGGAGGCCAUAUGGUUGUACAAGAUCAAACAUCCGGUGCCGCACAACGUACCAGCGUACCUUACCGAUAUGUUUAACCUUGGAGAGAAAAGCAAGAUGUACAGUUUGCGUAACGCCAAUCAACUGACUAUCAGGACACGUGUGGCAACGAAAUGCGGGGAAACAAUGCAAUCCUGGAGACUGGGCAAGCUUUUGGAUAAAGUUAACCAAAGCGGCAGUAAUAUUCUUGAGCUACGUACACUUGGCUGUUUUAAAAGCGCUUUGUUCACGACUAAAUUCUUUAACUAACUCGGAGUAUGUCGGCUGUUUAGGUGUCUUUUAGGUGUCUCACUUUUCAUUCAUGUUAAAUUGUGUUCUCCGUUUUCUCCAGCCAGGUUUAAAAUCCCAUGCUAGAUGUCAUUCUAGCCAGAUAUGGGCUACCUGCACU